AAGACUAUACUUUCAGGGAUCAUUUCUAUAGUUUGUUAAAAUAAUCAUGCUUCAGCUUUUCAUUAGAAUUCAUGAUGCUUUUAGGGGUGCCUGGGUGACUCAGUUGAGCAUCUGCUUUCAGCUCAGGUCAUGAUCCCAGGGUCCUAGGCUUGAGUCCCGCAUCAGGCUCCCUGCAGAGUGAG
rnacentral:snoRNA from 2 species